CUCAAAAUUUUAUAAUCUUUCAUAACGGAACACAUCGUGGAUUACAAAAGCCGGCAGAAAAUAGUAAUAUCUCCGGAAGCAAUAGCCGAAAAGAGGGAGACAAUAACAAUGAGGUAGGAUAAUACGAAAAAAGUAUUAGAGAGCCACAGGUACUAAAGCUGGAACUGAUGAACUGAUCAUAACUCGCAGACACUCGUGAGAAACAUGAGACCGAAGAUAACCAAAGAACCAAUGACUUAGGCAAACCCAACCCCGAAGGGUACACCACCAAGCUAAAACAGGCGCACCAUCGGGACAAGCAUGUGCGAGGAUAAACUUACAUCAACACCAGAGAUUGUUGCAAACCAGAGCCAAGGCAGAACCAAGUCAAAACCAAACACCUAGGCUCAAAGACACAAGAACUUGAAAUGCUAAAGGGAAAAACACCGGUGAAGAUUUACAGGUCUUACACGCGGACAUUCGUUAGGCAGAAUAGCGAUCUACAGAGCUAAAACUGGUCACCUCCUCGCAAGAGAAGACCUACAAAUCAAACUCAUUGCUUCGUCUCGAAACGCUCGUCCAAUCCAUGGUAGAUAAAGGAGAGGUCUAGUAGAUUCCUCCACAGCAAAUAUACCUCACACCGACGAAUCCAAAAAGCUAGAACAAGGCAAAAAAAGAAUUGACCAUAACUGCAAGCAACCGAAGAGAAACAGAAGCACCACAACCCAAAUCUAAAGCAACCCUCGACUUGACAACAACGACCUUUACCUAAACCACCAUAAACCAUAGAAAACCUAGAUUAAACUAAAAACAAAGAGGAGAUCCUCCCUCACAUAGCGACGGUGAAGAGCACCGCGAACCACAGAGGGAGAUCGGACGACCUGGAGUUUUCUUCUUCUUUUCUCUCUUGACGGCUUGACCUAAUUCUUGAAUAUAUGUAUAUAUAGACUAUUUCUUUUCUCAAUUGCCUUUGUAAAAGGUUUUUUUAUUUAUUUAAUAUUUUUAAUUAUGAAUUUUCUUUUCUAAGUUUAUGGUUUAAAUCAUUUAACAGCAUACUAGGUAACUUAUCCUAUACGCGAAAAUAAAUAUUUACGAAAAACUAAAUUUUAGCAGUAUAUUAAUAUUUAUUUUUUUUUAGUUUUAUAUUUCUAGUUUCUUAGUUAAGGCAUGUAUUUUUGAGUUAGUGGGUUCUGAUGUUUUAACAUAUUUUACUUUACAAAAUAUUCAACUUUGUCAUGAUAUUUGUUUUUAAAAUUAUAAUUUGAUUUUAAUUUGAUGUAGCUAGUUUUUAUUGAUCGUAUUGUUAUUUUAUUUACAGUAUCAUAUUUUAUUUUGGUUUAUUAUUGGGAUUUGUGAAGUUUUUAAAACAAACAAAGCACUUAUUAAAUUUAUGAACUAAAAAACUGAAAUAUAAAUGUUAUUUGGUUAAGAGAAAUCUAAAAUUGCAUUACUUAAAAUAUAACAGUACAUUAUAAAGUUAUCAAUUAAAUUGAAGAUUUAUCAUCUAAAUCAAAGUUGUUAACGUAAAACACCAACAAAGUUUUUUUAUAUUUAAAAAUACAUAAAUAUAAGAAAAAUUCUCUUAAAAGACACCAAAUGAGUUUUUUGUAAACAAAAUAGCACAGAAAGGAGAAAAUGACCAAACUAUUUUCAUUAAAGAGGUAAAAGAUCUUUUUAUCCCUACUUUCUACAUAUAUAAAUAAUUAUUUGAAUAAAAAAAGGUAAAAAAAUUUAUUAUUUUUUGAAUAAUAUGUUUUUCAAUUCAAACUUUUUGUUUUUUUCAAAAUUUUAUUUUGAAAUCCGAAAGUUCUUUUUGAAAUUAUUUUAAAAAAUUAUUUUAAAUUAUAAAUUUUAUUGAAGAAAAAACAUCAUAAACCGUACCUCCCAAAACUCCACCCACCCUUCAAAUCUAAAUCUUAAAUCUAGACUAGUUAACAUUAAUGGUAUAAGUGUCUACUCUUUAAUGAUACAUUUUGGUCAUUGUGCUAUUGUGUGCUAUAUUUAUGAUAAAAAUAUUUUAGUGCUAUUUUAGAGAAAUUUUGUAAAUGUAAUCUCAAUUAGAACUGCUUUUUUUUUGUCACUGAAAUACUUCAUUAAAUUAAAGUGAAGAAUGAGCCCAUAAGAGCCCAAGCCCAUUUAGUUCAUUACAGCAAAAAUUGAAAACUGGAGAGUUCCUUUGGCUAGGGUAUCGGCCUCAGCGUUUAGAGAUAGAGAGAUGUGCGCAAAGGAGAUUGAUGCAAACUCAGUAGAUAUCGAUCGGAUGUCUUUCACAAUACCGAUGAUUUCCUUAGCCAGAGUGAUGCCGGAGAUUGCUCGGACGGGCAUUAAGUUGUUGGAGAACACCUCAAGAGAGGCGAACUCCAAGGUGAUCGCCAUGCAAAGGGCUGAUCUGAUUGCGGAAGCCUCUGCAAUUAGUGGUGAUCCGAUCGAAGAUUCAACCAUCGAUCCUUUGAUUGGAGAUUCUAGUCUUGGUCCCGAGAACACCCAACCCAGUCCCGCUGCAAGUUUUUCCUUGUUCCAAGCCGCAUCCGUCUUACAUGUCACGCGAUUGCUAACGGAGAUGGUCUGUGGCGAUUCUCGCGGCCGGUUGUGAGCGUUGUUUCUUCAGGAGUUUGGUGUCGUCUUUCGAAGAUGAAAGUGUUCCUCGAUGUCCAGAUGGCUUAUAAUAUCCAAGAGAGAUACCUGAGGGAGGAAGGAAGAUUGCUUUCCUAAACCUGACUACUACGUCUGAGAAGUUUGUACCUGCAGCUAGGUGAACUGCUUUGCUAUGGGGGACGAGUUCCCAAACUUUCUUCGAGUUUGAACCUAGUGAGAUAGCUUUAUGGAUAAUGGACCAGAGGAACGUUUUUAUCUUUGGUGAAAAUUUUUCUGCCCAAAUGUCUCUGAUCCAACUAAAAUCUCGUUCUGAUCUUGCUAAAAUUAUUUGUUGUUGGGGAUUGCUUGCAGCAAAGUAACCAGACUUGGUGGAGUAAAUACCCGAAGCUGUCUGAUGCCAUAUGAAGGAGUCUUCCGUCCCUGUUGAGCUUGGUUUUAUGCAUUGUAUCUGUACAGCUAGAUCAGUGAUGUCGUCAUGCUGAAUGUUUAUGUUGUGAUGAAGCAAUGGUGGUUGCGGGUUUCGUUUGUUCAACGGUGGAGGUUCGUCAACUCCAAGUCGAGAUAAGCUUAAACCUUGCAAUUCCUUUUAUGAGACUCAUCUUUAAGGAGGAUGCUAUGUCUGGUUCUUAAUCAUCGCCAAGUGACUGAAGCCCGUCUUCGUUAAUGCAAGUUGUGCGGAAAAGCAUUCUGGUGAUCUUUGGAAAAGAAUCGAAUCAAGUUCUCCUCGUGGUUAUUUGUGUCUCUGAACUAAAUUUUAUUUGUUGCUUCAUCAAUAUAAUCAUUAGACGGAACAAAAGGAGAUAUGAAAUGUGAUUUUCUUUGGAUAUCUU